UACGUAGGGGGCAAGCGUUGUCCGGAAUCAUUGGGCGUAAAGCGCGUGUAGGCGGCCAGGUAAGUCCGUUCUGAAAGCCCGUGGCUCAACCCCGGGAGGCGGAUGGAUACUGCUUGGCUCGAGUCCGGAAGAGGCGAGUGGAAUUCCCGGUGUAGCGGUGAAAUGCGCAGAUAUCGGGAGGAACACCAAUGGCGAAGGCAGCUCGCUGGGACGGUACUGACGCUGAGACGCGAAAGCGUGGGGAGCAAACAGG
rnacentral:rRNA from 1 species